AAGUCGUAACAAGGUUUCCGUAGGUGAACCUGCGGAAGGAUCAUUAUCGCACCUAUGGUUAUGGGUUAGGGCUAGAGGCCGCUUACAGUUACGCUGACUUUACGUCGCCUAACCCUAGCUUAAUAUUUGUCUAAUACACCUGUGCAUUGUCUAUACAAAACACACUCUAAAAUAUAGACUUAUGGACGUUCGAAUGCCUCAAGGCACUAUAAUAUGUAUACAA
rnacentral:misc_RNA from 1 species